GCGGGAGUAGUUCAGUGGUAGAACACCACCUUGCCAAGGUGGUUGUCGCGAGUUCAAGUCUCGUCUCCCGCU
rnacentral:tRNA from 1 species